CAUUAGCUGUGUUCUGCGGCCUUGAGGAUCUGGGAGAGCUGUACGAACAUGGCGGGUCCGGAGUUCGAAUUCAGCCAUAGCAAUGUGUUGUUCCAAACUCAGGACGGAAUUCCACUUACAUUUUACUGCUUACCAGGAGAGGUGGAAACCCUCGAGCUCAUAGGUCCAUUGGUCAAGCAUGGUGGUGGAAUUGUUACUAACCGCUUAGCAAGAGCCAGGGGUGAAUACUCCAUCAAACUGGCAGCAGAUGGGAAAGGAGGUGAACACAUGCAUAUGUACUCCUAUAAGUACAUCUUAGAUUGUGUGGAGAGGAAUGCCUUACUACCUUUGGAACCGUAUAAAGUGUCUACCGUGGUGUCCUCCGACUCUGCAACUUCUGCAAAGGGGGCCAGACGUGAGCAUUUUGAAAGAUACGAAAGUAUCAAUAUACUUAUGUAUAUUGCGAAACAUGGUGGAGAAAAACCACCAGUCAGUGGAAAGAAAAUGUGGAAGGACAUGCAGCUGUUUAAGGUAACGAAGCACCCGUGGUCUUCGAUGAGAAGCCACUAUUUAAAACAGCUGAGAGGAAAUGAGGAGGAAUAUCAGAUCAAGGACCGUAUGAGGUUAUUAAAUAUGACUGGCAAGGAGCUUAAAGAGCUCAUGGGUGACGCUCCCCCGAACAAUGAGGAUGAGGAAGACAUUAACGACAUGGUGAACGACAACCUUGGGAAGGAGAAGGCCAAGAUGCAGCCUGAGGUUGAGACGGGCGUGCCACCUUACAUGGUCCACAACGCCAACAUGCCUCCGGAUGUCGAGAGCCUCCCGGAGUAUGCCGAGGUUGGAAACCAGCCCCAUCUGAAGACCUUCCUGACCAAGCAGCAGAACAUGAACCACCUGACCUCCCCGGCCCCCUACGCCUCCACCUCCGUGGUCGACACCAACCUGAACGAGAACCUGAACCUGGAGAAGUCGGUGUCGGAGAACGGGAGUGAGAAGUGGAUGCCGACCUUCACGCGUGAGAAGAGGAAGAACGAGAGGAGGACGCCGGAUGCUUACACGCCCGACCACAAAGUCAACAAUGACAUUUAUCCCCAGGAGAACUCUGAAGGCAGCCAGAUGUCCACCUCCCUGAGUAACCCCAUGUAUGACAACAGGCCCAGAAGCCCUUACAGUGAUGGGUCAGCCACAGAUGCCUCCUCGCGACGGCGGAGGAGAGCACAGAACAAGCCGCUGGUGCCCCCGCUGAACUGGGCGGACCUGCUGACCCCUGCCCCGGAGCACCCACCACCCAGCAAGGUGGACUCCUCUCCCGGUACCCUGCCCAGAUCUCCCUACUCUUCCUCACACAGGAGUGACAGACCCACCCCAGAUUCCCCCAACACCGACGUGACGUUACCGUGCCUGCCGGCGCACCUGGAGGAUACGGGGCAGGAGCCGGGGCUGAGAAUCGAGCUGCCGGGGUACGGCUACCUGGACGCUCCAUCGGACGCGGACACCAGCGUGAGGGACGAGGACUUCGAGAACCGUGACUACGACAGGGAGCGCCACCUGGGGGAACAGACGCCUGCUUCCAGCAUGGGAGAUCUGGAAAGCAGCGUCACAGAUCUCCUUGUAAUGACCAAGCAGAUGUAGAUGCAUUGGACACCGACUUUGAUGGUUUUGAUACAUCAGAAGUUGAAGCUAUUGACAGUCUGGAACCAUCUGAAUUUGAUGCCCUCGAUGGUCCCGAUAAUGACUUUCUCCUCUAUUACUUACAAUUCCAAAAACUUUUGGACUCGUGGGAAAACAUGGAAAGAAAUCGCAGGAGUAAGCCCAAAAGUCUGAAGCCUCCGCGAGAGAAUGGCAGAAGAUACUCAGACUCUAUGAUUGCCGGAUAGGCUUCAGCUACUGAUGACAACGACAGCGUGACGACAGUCAGCAACAGGUCCAGCGCUGCAGAGUCGUCAGACGGGUUCUUCUUCACGGACGCAGACUUUGCCAGUGCAGCAGCGGCGGCUGCAGAAAGUGCAGGGCUUACAGUGCAGGGUUCUAUUGUCUCCUAUCCUAAUGCAGGUUAGCUGUGCAUCUUUUAAAGACAAGUUAAGACUGAUCAGUUCAAAUUUGGAAAAACAAAAGAAAUUUGGAAUAUCAGAUAUGUUAAAUUUCUGCCUAUAAGUGUGGUAUCAGCUGGAAGCUGUCUUCAUUGUAAAAGUAGUCAUAUAGUUAGUAAAGUUCACAGCUUUAGAUAUGAUUGAAUGAAAAUGCACGAACCAUGUACAAUUAGGUUAUUACACAUAACACAGCAUUGAGUCGACAAAUUUUUAAUACUGUCACAAAAUAUGAGUUUUCUCUGUGAGAGUUAUACAAAUGUAUAUAAUAUAAAAUGUAUAUUUUGCUGACCCUUUGGCCUGUCCAUGACAAGUAGAUAUUUGUUUGAAUGUGUAUAUAUUACAUGCUAGCAGUGAAAAACAAGUUUAACUUAUUAUUAUGGAAAAGAAGCUUCCAAGUUUAGUUACAAGUUGUGAACAAACCAUAGUAGCUGGAAUCAUGUGUUGCAUAUUUUUUUUGCUCUUUCACUGCCAUGCUGAGUGGUUUAAGAUCAUGUGUUAGAAGAUCAGACUGUGCACUGGUGCUCCGAAUGUAUUAAGCACUUCUUGUAGCAAGCACGACACACAGUCAGACGAUCAUUCAACAAUGUAACUUUGAGGGCUGCUUUCUGUUCUGCAGCAUCUGUCAGCUGAAUAUUCCCAUGCCAACGUUGAACUCUGUAGAUAUCGUGAAAAGCAGGGGAAGCUUUAUGUAUUUAACAUUGUCAGCCCUAUGUUUCUGUGAAGAUAGAGUUUAUUGGUACUACCAUGUCCCAAACUUAACGUAGAUAUAACAGGGUUUUCCCCAGUAUGUAUGUUACCGUAAUUCUGUGUUGUUUCUCACAGUGAAAUGUACAUUGUGUUGUACCUAAAAUAUAUCAUAACAGUAAUCUUAACAAUGCAACAACAGUUUGUUUUAUACUCAAUGUCCGGCAAAAAAAACCCUGUGUUUUUGUAUUUUGCUAUGGAGGAAAACUUCAGCUGGAGUAAAAAUGGUGUCUGACAUGAAUAACGUUGUACGGUACGUGGCUACGUAUUUGUGUAAAGUUUGACUGUUGUCAAGAGUUUUAUUUGACAGCCACUGUAACAGGAAAUAGUGCCUGUAGUAAUAGUAUAUGGUACCAAUAAAAUACCUACUUACA